CAUGUGUUCAUGAGUCCUAGUUCCCACAGAGACUAAAAGAAGGCUUCUGGUCCUCUGGCACUGGCAUUACAGGCAGGAGAGAAACCUGAGGGGCUGGGACCUGAAGUCGGGUCCUCUGUAAGAGCAGUAUGUGCUCUUAACCACAGAGCUGUCUCUCCAGCUCCUGUAUACUCAUUUACUAUCACCUCCUGGUUUGUUUCUCUAAGACACCACUGAAGCUUAAGGGAGGCUAGGAAGGUGACCAUCUUCUGUUCUGGGCCCUCAGAUAAACACUGGCUCUUCAGCUCCUUCUUCUGGAAAAUGGAGUUUGGGUCUUCUGGCUGAAGCUGAGUGCUGAGAAACAUCUUCCAGGCUGACUCAGUCACUGCUGUAGCUGUCUAGAACUGUCAGCUGCCAUUACCCAUUGGGGACUACACAAGGCUGCUCCCAUUAACUUUGCAUUACCGGGGAAGGGCUUUCUUGCCUUUCCUCAAAGAUUUAUGGACAGUUAACAGUUGUUUGGGGGAGAGGGUCAUGAAGCUGAGUCUCUUCCCAAGGAUCUAUAGACAGUUAACCAUUGUUGAAAUAUAUUUUUUUUCAGUGUUACGGCUGCCUGCAAGUUGCUCACUUUCCCGUUUAGUAACCCUAGUGACUCACUGAUUCAACAAACUAAGCUCAGAUGGAACCCCUUUUGGUGUCUAUGUUCAGUGCCCUCUCUGGGAUGAGGAGACAUGUCUAUUCAUCCAGACACUGAUCGAAUGCUUACUAGGACACCCUGGGAACUUCAAAGCACAUUGAAAAAUAAUGGAUCCAGACUUUUUUUUUCCUUCAAGCACUCCACAUUUUUUUCCCUUACAUUUGGAAAAAUACAACAGAGGCAGGAUCCUUGACAAAGCUAGUAACAGGGAUGCACAACGGUAUCGAGUAGAACCUUUGUGAUACCAACUGCCAGUUUGUGGCAGUUAUUCAGUCAAAGGGAGACUGCUGUGGGUCGGUCAUAAGGGACUCGGUGGAGGUGACUGACACCAGCUGGACCUUGACAUGGGUGGGAGACAGUUGAUGAAGAGAAAGAAAGUGCAUCCGGGUGAAAAUGCUCAAGGGCAGAAAUGGCUGCACGAUAGGUACAGGAAAUCCUGCGGCUGCUUGAAGUGUGAUCUAACACUGAGUGAUCUAACAGAGAUGGAGAAGGAGAAUCGAGCCUGAGGAGGAAGGGCGAGCAGCCAUGAGAUGACACCUUCUGAGACUGAGAGAUGGGUACACAGUCUUCAUUUUGCAACCCUGCCCAGGAGCACAUUCCAGGUUUUCACGAAAACUGGCACUUUUGUUUCCUUUUGGAGUUAACUUUUAGGGUAAGCUGUCUGCCUGUGCAGUAUGCUUGCAAACAUAACUGGAAUAUUCUUUUGAAUUUAUCUCUCAAUAAAAUGUCUUCCAACCA